AUCUACCUUUUGCUGGGGUAUAGCCACAAGAAAUUCUGAUUAAUCCCCCAUAACAUGAAUGCUCUGCAUGGAGCCUUUAUUAAAACUCAGGUGGCAAAAGAUGAGCCUGCGUUUGAUUACUUAGUUGGUGAGGUAAUGGCUCUACCAAGACUAUAAUCAGUAGGGGGCCUGAGAGGGUGCACCCCCACACUGGUACUGAGACACGGACCAGACUUCUACGGAAGGCAGCAGUGAGGAAUAUUGGUCAAUGGAGGAAACUCUGAACCAGCUACGUCGUGUGCAGGAUGACGGUCUUUUAGGUUGUAAACUGCUUUUGUAUAGAAAUAAAAAAUCUUACGUGAUAGGAUCUUGAAGGUACUAUGCGAAUAAGUGUCGGCUAAUUCCGUGCCAGCAGCCGCGGCAAUACGGAUGACACAAGCGUUAUUCGGAUUUAUUGGGUUUAAAGGGUGUGUAGGCUGUUUAUUAAGUCAGUAGUGAAAGCUUACAGCUUAACUGUAAAAUUGCUAUUGAUACUGGUAAACUUGAGUAAGAUUGGAGCAUCUGGAAUGUAUGGUGUAGCGGUGAAAUGCAUAGAUAUCAUACAGAACACCGAUAGCGAAGGCAGGUUGCUAAAUCUUUACUGACGCUGAGUGCACGAAAGCGUGGGUAGCAAACAGGAUUAGAUACCCUGGUAGUCCACGCCCUAAACGAUGAUCACUAGCUAUUGGAAAAACUAUAUUCAGUGGCUUAGCGAAAGCGAUAAGUGAUCCACCUGGGAAGUAUAGUCGCAAGAUUGAAACUCAAAGGAAUUGACGGGGGUUCGCACAAGCGGUGGAGCAUGUGGUUUAAUUCGAUGAUACGCGAGGAACCUUACCAAGGCUUAAAUGUAUUACGAAUAAGCUGGAAACAGCUUAGUCUAUACGACGUAUUACAAGGUGCUGCAUGGUUGUCUUCAGUUCGUGCUGUGAAGUGUUUGGUUAAGUCCUAUAACGAGCGUAACCCCUAUUGUUAGUUGCCAUCGGGUAAAGCCGGGGACUCUAACAAAACUGCCGGUGUAAACUGUGAGGAAGGUGGGGAUGAUGUCAA
rnacentral:rRNA from 1 species